rnacentral:rRNA from 1 species
UACGAAGGGGGCUAGCGUUGCUCGGAAUCACUGGGCGUAAAGCGCACGUAGGCGGAUUGUUAAGUCAGGGGUGAAAUCCUGGAGCUCAACUCCAGAACUGCCUUUGAUACUGGCGAUCUCGAGUCCGGGAGAGGUGAGUGGAACUGCGAGUGUAGAGGUGAAAUUCGUAGAUAUUCGCAAGAACACCAGUGGCGAAGGCGGCUCACUGGCCCGGUACUGACGCUGAGGUGCGGAAAGCGUGGGG